GACGAACGCUGGCGGCGUGCUUAACACAUGCAAGUCGAACGGUAAGGCCCUUCGGGGUACGCGAGUGGCGAACGGGUGAGUAACACGUGGGUGAUCUGCCCUGCACUUCGGGAUAAGCCCGGGAAACUGGGUCUAAUACCGGAUAGGACCACUGCCUGCAUGGGUGGUGGUGGAAAGCUUUUGCGGUGUGGGAUGGGCCCGCGGCCUAUCAGCUUGUUGGUGGGGUGAUGGCCUACCAAGGCGACGACGGGUAGCCGGCCUGAGAGGGUGACCGGCCACACUGGGACUGAGAUACGGCCCAGACUCCUACGGGAGGCAGCAGUGGGGAAUAUUGCACAAUGGGCGCAAGCCUGAUGCAGCGACGCCGCGUGUGGGAUGACGGCCUUCGGGUUGUAAACCUCUUUCAGCACCGACGAAGCGCAAGUGACGGUAGGUGCAGAAGAAGGACCGGCCAACUACGUGCCAGCCGCCGCCGUAA
rnacentral:rRNA from 1 species